GUCUGAUUAGCUAGUUGGUGGGGUAAAGGCCUACCAAGGCGACGAUCAGUAGUUGGUCUGAGAGGACGACCAACCACACUGGGACUGAGACACGGCCCAGACUCCUACGGGAGGCAGCAGUGGGGAAUUUUGGACAAUGGGCGCAAGCCUGAUCCAGCCAUGCCGCGUGAGUGAAGAAGGCCUUCGGGUUGUAAAGCUCUUUCAGUUGGGAAGAAACGAUUGCAACUAAUAAUUGUAAUUAAUGACGGUACCGACAGAGGAAGCACCGGCUAACUACGUGCCAGCAGCCGCGGUAAUACGUAGGGUGCGAGCGUUAAUCGGAAUUACUGGGCGUAAAGGGUGCGCAGGCGGUUUUGUAAGUCAGAUGUGAAAUCCCCGGGCUUAACCUGGGGACUGCGUUUGAAACUACAAGGCUAG
rnacentral:rRNA from 1 species